CGGAGGAUCCAAGCGUUAUCCGGAUUCAUUGGGUUUAAAGGGUGCGUAGGCGGAAUGAUGAGUCAGUGGUGAAAUCUCGGAGCUUAACUCCGAAACUGCCAUUGAUACUGUCAAUCUUGAGUACAUUUGAUGAGGGCGGAAUGUGUCAUGUAGCGGUGAAAUGCUUAGAUAUGACACAGAACACCGAUUGCGAAGGCAGCUCUCAAAACUGUAAUUGACGCUGAGGCACGAAAGCGUGGGUAUCAAACAGGAUUAGAUACCCUGGUAGUCCACGCUGUAAACUAUGAUUACUCGAUGUUUGCGAUAUACUGUAAGCGUCUAAGCGAAAGCGAUAAGUAAUCCACCUGGGGAGUACGCUCGCAAGAGUG
rnacentral:rRNA from 1 species